GAUGAACGCUAGCUACAGGCUUAACACAUGCAAGUCGAGGGGAAACGAUGAGAGAGCUUGCUCUCUUAGUCGUCGACCGGCGCACGGGUGAGUAACGCGUAUCCAACCUGCCUCUGACCAAGGGAUAACCCGUCGAAAGUCGGACUAAUACCUUAUGCAGUCGUCGGAAGUCAUCUGAUGACGACGAAAGAUUUCCUCGGUGAGAGAUGGGGAUGCGUCUGAUUAGCUUGUUGGCGGGGUAACGGCCCACCAAGGCGACGAUCAGUAGGGGUUCUGAGAGGAAGGUCCCCCACAUUGGAACUGAGACACGGUCCAAACUCCUACGGGGGGCAGCAGUGAGGAAUAUUGGUCAAUGGGCGUAAGCCUGAACCAGCCAAGUAGCGUGCAGGAUGACGGCCCUAUGGGUUGUAAACUGCUUUUAUGCGGGGAUAAAGUGAGGGACGUGUCCUUCAUUGCAGGUACCGCAUGAAUAAGGACCGGCUAAUUCCGUG
rnacentral:rRNA from 1 species